AAUUGGCUUUGUUAUGACUGAAAGAAUUUACACACACAUAUAUAUGAAAAUAUUUAUAUAUGUGUGUGUGUGUGUGUUUAAAAGACUUACCGAUGUAAAAAGUA
rnacentral:miRNA from 1 species